AGGUUAAGUUAACAAGGGCGCAUGGUGAAUGCCUUGGCACUAGGAGCCGAUGAAGGACGGGACUAACACCGAUAUGCUUCGGGGAGCUGUACGUAAGCUAUGAUCCGGAGAUUUCCGAAUGGGGCAACCCAGCAGUUUUAAUCAACUGUUACCACUAGAUGAAUUCAUAGUCUAGUUGGAGGUAAACGCUGUGAACUGAAACAUCUCAUUAGCAGCAGGAAUAUAAAGAAAUUUCGAUUCCCUAAGUAGCGGCGAGCGAACGGGGAACAGCCCAAACCAAAGUGCUUGCACUUUGGGGUUGUAGGACUGAACAUUUGAGUUACCAAAGAACUUGAUAGUCGAAGGAUUUGGGAAAAUCCGCCAUAGAUGGUGAUAGCCCAGUAGAUUAAAUCAAAUUCUCUCAGUUCAGGAUCCUGAGUACGGCGGAACACGUGAAAUUCCGUCGGAAUCCGGGAGGACCAUCUCCCAAGGCUAAAUACUACCUAGUGACCGAUAGUGAACCAGUACCGUGAGGGAAAGGUGAAAAGCACCCCGGGAGGGGAGUGAAAUAGUUCCUGAAACCAUGUGCCUACAAUAAGUCAGAGCGCGUUAAUGCGUGAUGGCGUGCCUUUUGUAGAAUGAACCGGCGAGUUAUGAUCCCGUGCAAGGUUAAGACUAAAAAGUCGGAGCCGUAGCGAAAGCGAGUCUGAAAUGGGCGAUUUGAGUACGAGGUUAUAGACCCGAAACCAGGUGACCUAUCCAUGUCCAGGUUGAAGGUGCGGUAAAACGCACUGGAGGACCGAACCCGUGUAAGUUGAAAAUUGCUGGGAUGAGGUGUGGAUAGCGGUGAAAUUCCAAACGAACUUGGAGAUAGCUGGUUCUCUCCGAAAUAGCUUUAGGGCUAGCCUCGGAUUAAGGAUCAUGGAGGUAGAGCACUAUUUGGACUAGGGGCCCGUCUUGGGUUACUGAAUUCAGAUAAACUCCGAAUGCCAUUGAUUCAUGUCCGGGAGUCAGACGAUGAGUGAUAAGAUCCACCGUCGAAAGGGGAACAGCCCAGACCAUCAGUUAAGGUCCCUAAAUGUAUGCUAAGUGGAAAAGGAUGUGGAGUUGCAUAGACAACUAGGAUGUUGGCUCAGAAGCAGCCACCAUUUAAAGAGUGCGUAAUAGCUCACUAGUCGAGUGAUCCUGCGCCGAAAAUGUACCGGGGCUAAGCAUACUACCGAAACCAUGGAUGCGACCAUUAGGUCGCGUGAUAGGAGAGCGUUCUAAGGGCGGUGAAGCAAGAUCGUGAGGACUUGUGGAGCGCUUAGAAGUGAGAAUGCCGGUAUGAGUAGCGAAAGAUAGGUGAGAAUCCUAUCCACCGAAUGACUAAGGUUUCCUGGGGAAGGCUCGUCCUCCCAGGGUUAGUCGGGACCUAAGUCGAGGCGAGAGGCGUAGACGAUGGAUAACAGGUUGAGAUUCCUGUACUAGUUAAGUGCGUUUGAGCAAUGGAGGGACGCAGGAGGCUAAGAUGUGCAUUCUGUUGGAUUAGAAUGUCCAAGCAGUAAGUCUUGUGGAGAGUCAAAUGCUUUUCACUUUAAGGACAAGCUGUGAUGGGGAGCGAAAUUUAGUAGCGAAGCGUCUGAUGUCACACUGCCGAGAAAAGCUUCUAGUGAGUACUUAACUACCCGUACCGCAAACCGACACAGGUAGUCGAGGAGAGAAUCCUAAGGUGAGCGAGUGAACUCUCGUUAAGGAACUCGGCAAAAUGACCCCGUAACUUCGGGAGAAGGGGUGCUGAUCGCAAGAUCAGCCGCAGUGAAUAGGCCCAGGCGACUGUUUAUCAAAAACACAGGUCUCUGCAAAAUCGUAAGAUGACGUAUAGGGGCUGACGCCUGCCCGGUGCUGGAAGGUUAAAAGGAUGGGUUAGCUUCGGCGAAGCUCAGAAUUGAAGCCCCAGUAAACGGCGGCCGUAACUAUAACGGUCCUAAGGUAGCGAAAUUCCUUGUCGGGUAAGUUCCGACCCGCACGAAAGGCGUAACGAUCUGGGCACUGUCUCAACGAGAGACUCGGUGAAAUUAUAUUGUCCGUGAAGAUGCGGACUACCCGCGACAGGACGGAAAGACCCCAUGGAGCUUUACUGUAGCUUGAUAUUGAGUGUUUGUACAGCUUGUACAGGAUAGGUAGGAGCCAUAGAAACCGGAACGCUAGUUUCGGUGGAGGCGUUGGUGGGAUACUACCCUCGCUGUAUGACCACUCUAACCCGCACCACUAAUCGUGGUGGGAGACAGUGUCAGGUGGGCAGUUUGACUGGGGCGGUCGCCUCCUAAAAAGUAACGGAGGCGCCCAAAGGUUCCCUCAGAAUGGUUGGAAAUCAUUCGCAGAGUGUAAAGGCACAAGGGAGCUUGACUGCGAGACAGACAGGUCGAGCAGGGACGAAAGUCGGGCUUAGUGAUCCGGUGGUACCGUAUGGAAGGGCCAUCGCUCAACGGAUAAAAGCUACCCUGGGGAUAACAGGCUUAUCUCCCCCAAGAGUCCACAUCGACGGGGAGGUUUGGCACCUCGAUGUCGGCUCAUCGCAUCCUGGGGCUGUAGUCGGUCCCAAGGGUUGGGCUGUUCGCCCAUUAAAGCGGUACGCGAGCUGGGUUCAGAACGUCGUGAGACAGUUCGGUCCCUAUCCGUCGCGGGCGUAGGAAAUUUGAGAGGACCUGUCCUUAGUACGAGAGGACCGGGAUGGACAUACCUCUGGUGUACCAGUUGUGCCGCCAGGCGCAUCGCUGGGUAGCUACGUAUGGAUGUGAUAAACGCUGAAAGCAUCUAAGUGUGAAACACACCUCGAGAUGAGAUUUCCCAUUCCUUUAUGGAAGUAAGACCCCUGAAAGAUGAUCAGGUAGAUAGGUUAGAAGUGGCAGUGCGGUGACGCAUGAAGCGGACUAAUACUAAUCGGUCGAGGACUUAACCAAG
rnacentral:rRNA from 2 species